UCCAGCAUGGUGCAGUGGUUUUGAGUGUUAGACUAUGACUCUGGAGACCAGGGUUCAAUCCCCCAGUCGGAC